GCAUUGGUGGUUGCAGUGGUAGAAUCCUCGCCUGCCACGCGGGGGGCCCGGGUUCGAUUCCCGGUCAAUGCA
rnacentral:tRNA from 1 species